rnacentral:rRNA from 1 species
UACGAAGGGUCCUAGCGUUGUUCGGAAUUACUGGGCUUAAAGAGCACGUAGGCGGGAAGGUAAGUGCUUUGUGAAAUCCCUCGGCUCAACCGGGGAAUUGCUUGGCAUACUGCCUUCCUUGAGGCAAGUAGGGGUGCAUGGAACUCUAGGUGGAGCGGUGAAAUGCGUAGAUAUCUAGAGGAACGCCAGUAGUGAAAACGGUGCACUGGGCUUGUUCUGACGCUGAGGUGCGAAAGCGUGGGGAGCGAACGGG